rnacentral:rRNA from 1 species
GAUCAUGGCUCAGAUUGAACGCUGGCGGCAUGCCUUACACAUGCAAGUCGAACGGCAGCACGGGAGCUUGCUCCUGGUGGCGAGUGGCGAACGGGUGAGUAAUACAUCGGAACGUACCCUGAAGUGGGGGAUAACGUAGCGAAAGUUACGCUAAUACCGCAUAUUCUGUGGGCAGGAAAGAGGGGGAUCGCAAGACCUCUUGCUUUAGGAGCGGCCGAUGUCGGAUUAGCUAGUUGGUGAGGUAAAGGCUCACCAAGGCGACGAUCCGUAGCGGGUCUGAGAGGAUGAUCCGCCACACUGGGACUGAGACACGGCCCAGACUCCUACGGGAGGCAGCAGUGGGGAAUUUUGGACAAUGGGCGCAAGCCUGAUCCAGCCAUGCCGCGUGAGUGAAGAAGGCCUUCGGGUUGUAAAGCUCUUUCGGUGGGGAAGAAAUUGCUUCGGUUAAUACCUGGAGUAGAUGACGGUACCCGCAUAAGAAGCACCGGCUAACUACGUG